UACGUAGGUGGCAAGCGUUAUCCGGAAUUAUUGGGCGUAAAGAGCGCGCAGGUGGUUGAUUAAGUCUGAUGUGAAAGCCCACGGCUUAACCGUGGAGGGUCAUUGGAAACUGGUCGACUUGAGUGCAGAAGAGGGAAGUGGAAUUCCAUGUGUAGCGGUGAAAUGCGUAGAGAUAUGGAGGAACACCAGUGGCGAAGGCGGCUUCCUGGUCUGUAACUGACACUGAGGCGCGAAAGCCAGGGGAGCAAACGGGAUUAGAUACCCGCGUA
rnacentral:rRNA from 1 species